UCAAAGGCUCUUUUCAGAGCCACCCACAUCCGCGCUGAAGAGAGCU
rfam:Heterocephalus glaber contig168510, whole genome shotgun sequence.